AAAAGAUUCUAGAAAAUUCAAGAACAAGAAAGAAGAGAAGAGAAGAAACUAGAGAGGGAGAAAGCCACGAUUUGGAGGGAAAAAAAGCCCAAAACGUUACCAAACAGCCCCGAAGUUUCAGCUGCGCUAAAUGAAAUCCCGAGGCGAGUUUUGACGAGUUUGAUGAGUUCCAGAAAAGGUUAAGGAGGUAUCAAGGCAAGCCGGAUUUCAAUUAAUCCCGAAAAAGGGAUCGGUGCUCCUCCUCGUUCUCCUCCACGUGGCUAGUUGAUAUUCCAUUGAAGACUACUUUUGGUGAGUUCCCAUGUUCCGGGAACAAUACUCCUUUAUCUUUCUAGCUUAUGAUAUGUUAAGAUAUUUUAUUAUGGCAUUUCUUCUAUUAUGAGUGAUGGUGAGCUAGGAACUUGUCUUAGCCCCAUUAAAUCUAAUAGUUAGAGGUAUUGUUGGACAUAUGUAAGUUGAAGAUUUAUAAUUAUGAUUUCUGCUUGUCUAUUUAUCAUCAUUACCUAUGAAAGGCUAAAAAAAUGCUAAGAGACUUGUUUGAGGUACU